AUUGAACGCUGGCGGCAUGCCUUACACAUGCAAGUCGAACGGUAACGGGCCUUCGGGUGCCGACGAGUGGCGAACGGGUGAGUAAUACAUCGGAACGUGCCCGAUCGUGGGGGAUAACGAGGCGAAAGCUUUGCUAAUACCGCAUACGAUCUACGGCUGAAAGCAGGGGACCGCAAGGCCUUGCGCGGACGGAGCGGCCGAUGGCAGAUUAGGUAGUUGGUGGGAUAAAAGCUUACCAAGCCGACGAUCUGUAGCUGGUCUGAGAGGAUGAUCAGCCACACUGGGACUGGGACACGGCCCAGACUCCUACGGGAGGCAGCGGUGGGGAAUUUUGGACAAUGGGCGCAAGCCUGAUCCAGCCAUGCCGCGUGCAGGAUGAAGGCCUUCGGGUUGUAAACUGCUUUUGUACGGAACGAAAAGCCUUCUUUUAAUACAGGAGGGUCAUGACGGUACCGUAAGAAUAAGCACCGGCUAACUACGUG
rnacentral:rRNA from 1 species